rnacentral:rRNA from 1 species
AAUGGACGAAAGUCUGAUCCAGCCAUGCCGCGUGCAGGAUGACAGCCUACGGGUUGUAAACUGCUUUUAUACAGGAAGAACAUACCGACGUGUCGGAGCUUGACGGUACUGUAAGAAUAAGGAUCGGCUAACUCCGUGCCAGCAGCCGCGGUAAUACGGAGGAUCCAAGCGUUAUCCGGAAUCAUUGGGUUUAAAGGGUCCGCAGGCUGUUUUUUAAGUCAGAGGUGAAAUCCUGCAGCUUAACCGUAGAACUGCCUUUGAUACUGGAAAACUUGAGUUAUUGUGAAGUGGUUAGAAUGUGUGGUGUAGCGGUGAAAUGCAUAGAUAUCACACAGAAUACCGAUUGCGAAGGCAGAUCACUAACAAUAUACUGACGCUCAUGGACGAAAGCGUGGGGAGCGAACAGGAUU